UGGUGAUGAUGACUAUCAUAGGACACCUUAGGAAUAACCAUGGAAUAAUAAUUUUUUUCUGAGCCAU
rnacentral:snoRNA from 1 species